ACGGGGUGCAGCAGGCGCGAAAACUUCGCAAUGCGGGAAACCGUGACGAGGGUAAUCCAAGUGCCCAUGCUUUGCAUGGGCUGUUUUUCAGCCUAAAUAGCUGUUAGAGUAAGAGGUGGGCAAGACCGGUGCCAGCCGCCGCGGUAAA
rnacentral:rRNA from 1 species